rnacentral:rRNA from 1 species
AUGGCCAGUACGCUCGACCCCGAGCUCAGACCGCCCCCGCCCCCGCCGCCCGACCCGGAGCCGCCGGGGAUGGACGAUUCGCACUUCCUCGGAUCCAUCUGCGGGAUGGGGGCCGGGGACACCGUCCUCGCACAGCCCGCCCCCGACGCUGCUCCUCCUCCUGCUCCUGCCCCGGCCCAGGUCCAGGCCCACCGCCAGCAGCAGCAGCAGCAGCAGCAGCAUCAGCAGCUGCUGCCCUCGCCGCCCAAGAAGAGGGGGCGGCCGCCCAGGAGCAGCGCAAACCCCAACGGGGCAGCCGCCGCGCCCGUUGCUGCUUCGGCAGCCGCAACAACCCUGACCCCCGCGGCGGCGAGGCGGGCGGAGGCCAAGGCCGCCAAGAAGCGCAAGGAGGAGGAGGAGGACGAGGUGGUCUGCUUCAUCUGCUUCGACGGCGGAGACCUCGUCGUCUGCGAUCGGAGGGGGUGCCCCAAGGUCUACCAUCCGGCCUGCAUCAAGCGGGACGAGUCCUUCUUCACCGCGCGCACCAAGUGGAACUGCGGUUGGCACAUAUGCAGCAGCUGUGAAAAGGCGGGGCACUAUAUGUGUUAUACUUGUACAUUCUCUGCCUGCAAAGUAUGCGUCAAACACGGCAAGUUCUUCGCUGUCAGGGGGGCCAAGGGCUUCUGUGAUACAUGCUUUGGGACUAUAUUGUUGAUAGAAACGAAAGAUGAAGGCGAUGAUACAAAGGUUAGGGUUGAUUUUGAUGAUCGAUUCACCUGGGAAUACCUGUUCAAGCUAUAUUGGUCGGAUCUGAAAGGGAAGCUUUCAUUAACAAUGGAAGAACUAACUGGUGCAAAGAGUAGAUGGAGUGCUCCUAUUACUUAUGCCAGGAAAGAAAAAGAUGAAUCAUCUGAUGACUUAUAUGACGCUAAUUAUGAUGAUGGUGCUGGAAAACGAAGGCGUGCUAACCCUUCAAGGAAAAGGGGUAAAAAACGUCAAAACCCACAGUCUGUUUGUACCGUUGCUGUCGAAGAUGUCAAAGUUGCAACAGGAAAUGCUGAAAAGCUGCCCAAGAAGGAACCAAGUGACGGGGUUUCUUUGCCGCUGAAUACCAAAUGGGCUUCACCAGAGCUACUGGAGUUUGUGGGCCACAUGAGGGAUGGUGACCAAUCUUUUAUUUCCCAGUUUGAUGUGCAGGCUCUUUUGCUUGACUAUAUAAAAAAGAAUGACCUCCGUGAUCCUCGAAGGAAAAGUCAAGUUAUCUGUGAUUCAAGACUUCACCGCUUGUUCAAAAAAACACAUGUUGCUCAUUUCGAGAUGUUGAGGCUUUUGGAAAUGCACUGUCCUGUAAGUGAUGCUUCAACGGUAAAUAAUGGCAACCGUGGAGACAUCAAUCUUAAUUCAGCUCAGAUAGAUGCCACUGGAUAUGGUGAAGUGGCAGAUAAACUGUAUCCUGAUAGGAAGAAGAGGAUGCAUAGAAAGAUGGAAAGAGAAUCAUUGUCUAAUCUCAAUGAUUACGCAGCAAUUGACAUGCACAAUAUAAGUUUAAUCUAUCUACGCCGUAGCUUGAUGGAAGAUCUUAUUGACGAUCCCACGUUCUCAGACAAAGUUUCUGGUGGUUUUGUGAGGAUAAAAAUUACCGAUGUUGGACAGAAGCAAGAUAUGUAUCGUCUAGUGAAAGUAGUUGGGACACAUAAGGUUGCAGAAAAAUACAACAUCGGGAAGAAAAAGACAAAUUUUGCACUUGAGAUAUUAAAUCUGAGAAAAAAGGAGAUUAUCACGAUGGAUACAAUAUCAAAUCAAGACUUUACACAGGAGGAAUGCAAACGCUUGAGGCAGAGCAUGAAGUAUGGUCUAAUCGACCGACUAAAAGUGGGAGAUAUUCAAGAUAAAGCGACGAUCUUCCAAUCUGUAAGAGUGAAUGAUUGGUUGGAAAAUGAAAAGCAGAAGCUGGGCUAUCUUCGAGACCGUGCAAGUGAAACAGGACGCAAAAAGGAACUUAGAGAGUGUGUGGAAAAGCUGCAGCUUCUCAACAAUUCCGAGGAAAGAGCGCGCAGAAUAAAUGAAGUUCUAGAAGUGCAUAUUGAUUCCCAUAUGGAUCCUGAUUAUGAAUCUUCUGAAGAAAUGGAUGAUAAAAGAGCUGUUGAACAGAGUGGAAGUGGCAAAAGAUCAAAUGGGUUGUUCUCACCAAUUAAAGUGCAAAAUUAUGCGAAAAUAAUGUCUGAUGCUAUCCGUAAUCCCAAAAGCCUAUCAAAACAAAGUACAAUACCGAAAUUGGGAGCUGGAAGAAGCUCUAAGAAUUCCCAUUCAACAACCGGUACGGAUACUCCAAAAUCUGGCACCAACGUAAGCAGCAAGAUGUGUGAAGCUGCACCCGUUUCAUCUCCUGGAGUGACACCAUCUACUGAGUUGGAGCCAGAGAAAGUCUGGCACUACAAGGAUCCAUCUGGAAAUGUUCAGGGCCCAUUUACUCUUUUGCAGCUAUCUAAAUGGACAGCUUACUUCCCACGUGAUCUGAGAGUAUGGCUCAUUUUUGAGAGUGAAGAAAGAUCGUUGUUGCUGACAGAAGUGCUUUCAAAACAACCAAAAGAUUUCGGCCAGGUUCCAUCAGUUAGAAGUAGUAAAACAAAAUUGGCAGGAUCUGGACAGCACAGAAACGGCUCAAAUGUGGAUUUGAACAGCACUCCAUCCCCAGCUGGUUAUAGUAGGUUUAAUUCUUCUGAAACGACAGUUCAGUCUGCUAAGUAUUCUGUUCCAGAAAGGGCGAGUCCGCUGCACCCUUCAGAUGAAUUACAACAUGGUGGAGUACAGGGAAGACGCUCUGCUGAAUGUAACAACGGCCACAACCGGGGUGAUCGGUGGAGUCCAAGCACGACGCAGACAAGUUGUAGUGGGCAGAACAAUGUAGAAUCUCAUCGUAAUCAGCAUGCCUCACGGUCACAGGCUCAGCAUAAAAGUAGUUUGCAAGCAGGUUGUGCAAAGGAUUUGGAUUCGAGGCAGGAUUAUUCGCACACUAUACCUACUCAACUAACCAGGAGAGAUGUCCCGAGUCCUGCACUUGCUUUGAGUCCAUCCGAGUCCAGAACCGCUUCAAGUCAACACGAAAGCUCUUGCUUGAGUUCAACCAAUCCGGGACUGCAUGAUGAACUUCAUUCUUCUAUUACCUCUGAAAAGACCAAGACCUGUGCUCCUGCAACUUCUGUUGAAGACAGAGGAUCUAGUUCACCGUCUGCCAUGCUGGCCCACUCAGAGAGAGUUCCAGUCUGCAGUCAGCAGUCAGUUCCUUCCGCAGCCGUUCCUGAAAUAUGCAAGGUGGGGGAGGAGAUCAAGAAUGAGGAAAAAACACGUGAAGCUGAUGCAUCAAAUGUUUCAGUUAAUCAGUCUCCUCAGUCCAAGAUGUUCCCUGAUUCUUCUCCUGACAACCAAGAUAUUGAACGUGAAUCUGAGAGUAAGAAGGCUGAUGCGGCCCACCCCGAAAGAGUUCCAGUCUGCAGUCCACAGUCAGUUCCUGCCGCAGCGAUUCCUGAAAUAUGCAAGGCGGGGGAGACCAAGAAUGAGGAGAAAACACGUGAAGCUGACGCAUCAAAUGUUUCAGUCAGUCAGUCUCCUCAGUCCAAGAUGUUCCCUGAUUCUUCUCCUGAUAACCAAGAUAUUGAGCAUGAACGCUCUGAUCCAGCGCAGAAAUCUGAGAGUAAGAAGGUUGAUGUGGCCCAGUCAGGGUCAGAAUCAGCAAGACCUGAAACUUUGGAUACUAAGAUACCUGACCACUCUCCAGUUUCUUUUGUUUCGCCGAAAAUUGAUCUUCCAACUGGGGAAACAGGUGCCACAGAUUCAGUACCUAACCUGGAGAAAACAGAGGGAAGUGGUGAAGAUUUAAAUACUCAAAAGGAGUGUUACAGUGAGGCUAGUCUUGCCAUAAGGGAGAAAGUGGUAGCUGAUCCUGCUUCUUGUGCUAAGUCAGUAGACGCGUCUGAUGUUCCGGAAUCAGCAUGUGAUGUUCCAACUGGGGAAGUAGGAGGCGUUGAUAACGUGGAGAAAACAGUUUUGUGUGGUGACGAUUCAAAUACUCGAAAAGAAUGCUACAGCAAGAAGGCUACUCUUGUCACAAUGGAGAAAUCGGUAGCUGAUCCUGCUUGUGCAGAGUCGAUCAACACGCCUGAUGUUCCGGAAUCAGUAUCUAAUCUGGAGAAGAGAGAUUCCAAGGGUCAAGAUUCAGAUAUUCAAAAAGAGCUGUACAAUGAGUCUAUUAUUGUCACGAGUGAGAAACUGUUAGCUGAUCCUGCUUCUUGUGCCGAGUCUGCUGUUCCGGAAAGAGACUUAAUGGGUGCUGAUUCAAAUGUCCAAAAAGAACUGCAUAGCAAGUCUACUCUUGUCACAAGUGAGAAAGUGGUGGUUGAACCUGCCUCUUGCGCUGAGAAAGUAGGCGUCCCUAAUGUUUUGGGCUCAGUAUCUAACCUGGAGAGAAGAGAUCUAAACGAUGAAGAUUCAGUUAUUCAAAAAGAGCUCUUCAGCGAGUCUACGCUUGUCACAGGUGAUAAAAUGGUGGGUAAACCUGUCUCUCGUGCCGAGUCAGUAGAUGUGUCCAAUGUUUUGGAAUCAGUACCUAACCUGGAGGGAAGAGAUCUAAACGUUGAAGAUUCAAUUGUUCAAAAAGAACCGUUCAUGGAGUCUACUCUGGCCACAAGUGAUAAAUUGGUGGUUGAUCCUGCGUCUUGUGCUGAUGUCUCUGAUGUCUUGGAAUCAGUAUUUAACCUCGAGCAAACAGGUUUGAAUGGUGAGCAUUCAAAUAUUCAGAAGGAACUGUACGAGGAGUCUACUCUGGUCACAAGGGAUAACAUGGCAACUAAUCCUGCCUCCUGCGCCGAGUCAGUGCAUGUGUCUGAUGUCCUCGAACCAGCAUUCGACUUGGAGAAGACAUAUUUUGGAGGUGAAGGUUCAGAUAUUCAGAAAGAAUUGCAUGAAGGGUCUACUCUUGUCACGAGAGAGUACAUGGCGGUUGAUCCCGCCCCUUGUGCCGAGCCGACAGACGUGUCUUUAACAGAACAAAAUCGUGGAGCUUUGUGCAUGGAUUCACUAGCAGCAAUAGAGCAAUUCAUGACCGCCUCGCCGGAGGAAGAACCACAAUGCUCUAGCCCCAUUGCGUUAUCCCCAUGGGGUGAAUCUGGUUACUAUCAAGGUGAUGCUGUUGAUUCUGGACUAUGGGGUGUCCAAGAUGACACAAUCAAUGAAAUGUGGUCAUUGCUGUCACCGACACCUACUCCCCAAAAUUUAUCUGGGGUUAAAUCCGAGGUGGAAGGUGGUGCCCAUGUUGUCAAUGCGGCAACUGUUGCCCAAGGAGAGUAUGAUUUUUUUCAAAGAGAUCCAACACCAGGGGUGCAUUGGGGACUGACUGAGCAGGUGAAACCAAAAGCAACUGCUGCAUCAGUAUCACCGAUAGAUGUGAAUGUGAGCACAGGAGCAUUUGGCUGGCAACCAUCAGCCAGCGAGAGAUCAAAUGCUGCAUCAGUAUCAUCGAUAGAUGUGAAUGCGAGCACAGGAGUAUUUGACUGGCAACCAUCAGCCGGUGAGAGAUCGAACGCGGGAGCCGCAUGGAGCACAGGCUACAACCCAAACAUGUACUCUAGCUAUGGAGCAGCAGCAGCAGCACCCUCUGUGAGAACCUCUCAGCAAGCACCGGUGAAGCAGGAAUACACCGAGUUGGACGCUGCUAAUUUCGGAGGGGCCCUGAGGAAUUUCGGAGCGUCCUUUGGGAACAACACCAAGAGCUGGAACGCGCCCGCCGGCAAUGCAUCCAACCGAGGCAGCCAGCGCCGCGACAGGUACUCUGAGAUAAGCGAGUCUUGGCUCCUUAGCUCGAAUAACAACAACAACUAUAGGAGUAGGGCAGAUGGGUUUAGCGGUGGCGGCACAUCACGGACGCCCCCGAGGGGGCAACAGUAG